ACAAUCACUGCACUCUUCCUCUCCCAGUUGCACAGAUUUCUCUGUGUCAUGCAGCUGCUAUGGGGGGAUGGAGGAGGAGUGGCAUUGGCAAUUCAAGACUGCCUUUCCUACCCUUUUCAGUGCCUCUUUCAGUGAUACGAAGCUAAAACCAGAUACUGCUUUCAUAGUACUUUUCUGACCACGGUUUUCUGGAGUUUUUUCGUAUGGAGUUUGUAAGCUUCCUGACAUGGAUUAUAACUGUACUUGAUGGAGCACAGUUAUAAUAGCUGCUUUAGAGUCCUUGAUAAUUCCCACAUCUGAGUCAUCUCAAGUUAUUUUUGGCAGAUUUUGAUGGAUGUACAUUGAUGGAUAGCCACGUGGAUCCAGAAAAUAAAGACUUCUACUCUGCAUUUGACUAAAGCAGAAGAUAUGCAAGGAAGCUCAGUCUCUCAAUUGAGUGGAUUCUGAAAUUUAUCCUGUUGUCUUCAGCUACUAAGGCUAAUUUGCAAAUCACACUGUGCACGGAAACAACCUGUUCAGUGGCUGCUGAUUAACUCCCCAAGAUUGAUGUACUGAAGAAGGAUGACCUCCCCUUGACACCAAUGCUACUAGUCAAUAACGACCACUGUGACUCAGAACAAAUUCUCUGGGGGCAGGCAGUGAAGCUUCUUCUCUUGUUGACCUUACCAGACCACAAGGCUGAAAAUAUUCUGUGGCCUGAUGCCCUUAAAUUGAUCAUAUUAAUACAAUCAAGCAGAAAAGAAAUUAAUUUUCCCUCUCUCUCUCUGUCUAUAUAUAUACUUACUACUAUAUAUAUGUGUGUAUAUAUAUGCUAUAUAUGUGUGUGUAUAUAUAUAGCAGUACAUAUAGAUAUAAUUAGUAUAUAUAGAAGUAGUAAAUAUAUAAAAAUAUAUUUGUAUUCCUCUUCAGCUCCAUACUUGAGAUUAAAAAGUAUCCUUUAAGAGUUCAUACAUCUAGACCUCUCUUCUGAAAAGAAUAAUAAUCUCCUGUUUAUCUAUGCACUUAUUUGCUAAAUAAAGAAGAAUAUUGAGCACCCAAAA
rnacentral:lncRNA from 1 species